rnacentral:rRNA from 1 species
UACGGAGGGAGCAAGCGUUACUCGGAAUUAUUGGGCGUAAAGGGCGCGUAGGCGAUUUGAAAAGUCUUGUGUGAAAGCCCCGAGCUUAACUCGGGAAGUGCACAAGAAACUGUUGAAUUUGAGUUCCGGAGAGGAAGGCAGAAUUCCCGGUGUAGCGGUGAAAUGCGCAGAUAUCAGGAGGAACACCGGUGGCGAAGGCGGAUCUCUGGGCCUUACCUGACGCUCAGGCACGAAAGCUAGGGGAGCGAACAGG